UCAACGGAGAGUUUGAUCCUGGCUCAGGACGAACGCUGGCGGCGUGCUUAACACAUGCAAGUCGAACGGUGAUCUCGAAGCUUGCUUCGGGUGAGCAGUGGCGAACGGGUGAGUAACACGUGAGUAACCUGCCCCUGACUCUGGAAUAAGCGCUGGAAACGGCGUCUAAUACCGGAUAUGACACUAAACCGCAUGGUUAUGGUGUGGAAAGUUUUUCGGUCUGGGAUGGACUCGCGGCCUAUCAGCUUGUUGGUGAGGUAAUGGCUCACCAAGGCGAUGACGGGUAGCCGGCCUGAGAGGGCGAUCGGCCACACUGGGACUGAGACACGGCCCAGACUCCUACGGGAGGCAGCAGUGGGGAAUAUUGCACAAUGGGCGAAAGCCUGAUGCAGCGACGCCGCGUGAGGGAUGACGGCCUUCGGGUUGUAAACCUCUUUCAGCAGGGAAGAAGCGCAAGUGACGGUACCUGCAGAAGAAGCACCGGCUAACUACGUGCCAGCAGCCGCGGUAAUACGUAGGGUGCGAGCGUUGUCCGGAAUUAUUGGGCGUAAAGAGCUUGUAGGCGGUUUGUCGCGUCUGCCGUGAAAAUCCGGGGCUCAACCCCGGACUUGCGGUGGGUACGGGCAGACUAGAGUGUGGUAGGGGAGACUGGAAUUCCUGGUGUAGCGGUGAAAUGCGCAGAUAUCAGGAGGAACACCGAUGGCGAAGGCAGGUCUCUGGGCCACUACUGACGCUGAGAAGCGAAAGCAUGGGGAGCGAACAGGAUUAGAUACCCUGGUAGUCCAUGCCGUAAACGUUGGGAACUAGGUGUGGG
rnacentral:ncRNA from 1 species